ACUCGAAGCGCUAGUCUUUUUUCAAGAGGAAGAGAACCACUGAAGAAUCGUACUGCUGUUUUUGCUCUGGGGGAUUGGAUCAUCAUUUUAAAGGAAAUUGAUUAACCUGCAUUGAUUCCGCAUAUAUCUGAAGCCAGCUCCUUAAAGUAUACUAAUGAGGUCCUUUUCCGGAGCUUACACAAGCUGCUUAUGGAUACUGCAACUUCUGAGUAUCUUUUCUGUGAUCAUUUCUUCAGGAAGAAUCUAUAUUUUAUGAAAUUUUUGCAGGUAAAAUUUUAUAAAUAAUAAGGUCAAGAUAUGCACCAGAAGGUGGCACUUGAAGUGAAUAAUAAUCAGCCAAUGCCUUGUUGGAGUUGCCAGCAGGUGGCAAUUUAAUUUCUGCUAGAACUUCUGUGUCAGCCAUUACAAUUUCAGAUUUUAGUAGUACUGGUAUUAUUGAGACUGGCUUAGGAUCAGUUUUGGCUUCUACAAUGAAAGAAAGCACAACCAAAGAGGCAAGUACAGAUGCUUCUUAGGACACUUUCAAAGUAGCUAUUCUCACAGUAAGUGAUACAGUUGCAUCGGCAACUGGGCCUGAUCAAAGGUACUAAAUCUGUGUAUAUGCGUGCUCUCUGUCUCGGUCUCUAUCUCUCUCUCUCUCUCUCUCUCUUUUAUAUCCUUUUUUCAUGCUUCCUGUGUAUAUAUAUUUAUUCAUCCCUCCAGUUUAGAUAUGUUAAAAAGCAAAACAAAGAAAAGGCAUCUAGGUACACCUUUUUGACUUAGUAGUUUUAAAAAUCUUUAUGGAUGCUACAGUGAUAGAGCAGAGCUGAUGUUCUGCCUUGUAUGAGUUAGAUAUGGAACAGUAUAUAGCAAACAGUUGAUGAUUAGUAUCUUUAUGUUCUUGGAUGACUCAAUCUUUGGGAUCAUCUUCUCUAAGUUGUCCUUAAUUGGGAAUGCGAAGAUCAUUACCUAAACUUAAUAGCAUCCGGAUACACCUCUCUGAAUCAUUGUUUCAGAAGGGUCGCUUACUUGAUGCCAUAGUAAAAAGCCAAGCUGAUAUUACUCCUUGUCAAAGUGAAACAUGGAAAGUACUAAAUGCUAUGCAACAGUAUUCUGGAAAUAGUAUGUCAAUCAUCAAGUCAUCUUGGUGGUGUUCUUUCUUAUUUUUGCUUCUAUUGUGCUUGUAUUAGAACUUCCUUGAGAGCAUUGAACUAUAAAUAAACUGACAACACUUUAGAACUAUCCUUUUUUGUAAUGCUUGACUAUUUGAAGAAUUGACCAAACUUGAAAUCUUUUUGAAAGCAUUAAUGACCAUUUAACUAAAGGCCUUUGGUUGUG